GUGUUUUAAUUUGUGUGCUGUGCCUUUUUACCUUUUUUAGUGUUAUUUGUGUUUUAAUGCAUGUGUGUUUUUUUAAGUUUUACUUACUGGCUGAACUGAUCUUAAACCACACACCUCCACUGAUGACAUAAUGAGCAAAUGAGCAACAGGUGUGGAAGCCGGCAACAGAUUGGACAGGACUACUUAUUAAGUGAAGCAACGAGGGAGCGAGGAACGCGACGACACGGAUGUAGGCCGGUAAGGAGCGUGACUGUUGGGAAGCAGGUGGAGGAGAUGGAGGUUCGACGGAGAGAAGAGUGAAGAGAGCAGCAGGGAAAGUCGGCCAGCUCGUUGGGCGCUGAGCAGGGGGGCAUCGAGCAGGGGGGCAUCGAGCAGGGGGGCGGCAGCUAUGAGAGACCUGUGGGGAAGUAAUUGAUUGGACGAAACCGGCGCGCCAGCCGAGACGACGCAGCAGUGGGCGACUGUGAGAGCAGUCACUGUCGAGGCCUGCAGGGAGAAGCCGGGCUGAUCCGGGCAGAACCAGCAGCAACGCGAGUGGCUGACCUGUGUCCGCCAACGCGCUUCCAACAGUACGACUGUUGCCUGGGGAAACCGAAACCGACGAGCGUUGAGGACUGCGGAGCAGGCGGAGCGACCCCGUGAAGCUGCCGGGCCGUGGGACGGAGGAUUCCCCAGAGGGACUAUCUACCUGUGCUGGGAGCUGUGAAAUCACAGAACAUUUUUCUUUUAGCUGUGGCAUCACAUGGGUUUUAGUUAGGCUGUUUUUAAAAUUAUAAACAUUUUUUAAUUGUUAACAUUUA